UACAGAGGUCUCAAGCGUUGUUCGGAUUCAUUGGGCGUAAAGCGCGCGCAGGCGGUCCUUUAAGUCUGAUGUGAAAGCCCACGGCUCAACCGUGGAGGGUCAUUGGAAACUGGGGGACUUGAGUGCAGGAGAGAAGAGUGGAAUUCCACGUGUAGCGGUGAAAUGCGUAGAGAUGUGGAGGAACACCCGUGGCGAAGGCGGCACUCUGGGACGGUACUGACGCUGAGACGCGAAAGCGUGGGGAGCAAACAGG
rnacentral:rRNA from 1 species